CGCCACAGCCAUAUCACCCUGCAGCCCAAGACCGGUUACUCACUAAAGCUAAGCAGGGCUGAGCCUGGUCAGUACCUGGAUGGGAGACCACUAGGGAACACUAGGUUGCUGUUGGAA
rfam:Danio rerio chromosome 13, GRCz11 reference primary assembly.